rnacentral:rRNA from 1 species
AUUGAACGCUGGCGGCAUGCCUUACACAUGCAAGUCGAACGGUAACAGGUCUUCGGAUGCUGACGAGUGGCGAACGGGUGAGUAAUAUAUCGGAACGUGCCCAGUUGUGGGGGAUAACCUCGAGAAAUCGAGGCUAAUACCGCAUACGACCCACGGGUGAAAGCGGGGGACCGCAAGGCCGCGCGCUAUUGGAGCGGCCGAUGUCCGAUUAGCUAGUUGGUGGGGUAAGAGCCCACCAAGGCGACGAUCGGUAGCUGGUCUGAGAGGACGACCAGCCACACGGGGACUGGGACACGGCCCAGACUCCUACGGGAGGCAGCAGUGGGGAAUUUUGGACAAUGGGGGCAACCCUGAUCCAGCCAUGCCGCGUGCGGGAAGAAGGCCUUCGGGUUGUAAACCGCUUUCGGCCGGAACGAAAUCGCCGGGGAGAACAUCCCCGGUGGAUGACGGUACCGGAAGAAGAAGCACCGGCUAACUACGUGCCAGCCGCCGCCGUAAUAC